CUUAGUGGCGGACGGGUGAGUAACACGUGGGAAUCUACCCAGCAGUGCGGGAUAACUACUGGAAACGGUGGCUAAUACCGCAUACGUCCUAAGGGAGAAAGUGGGGGAUCGUAAGACCUCACACUAUAGGAGCGGCCGAUGCCGGAUUAGCUAGUUGGUGGGGUAAAGGCCUACCAAGGCGACGAUCCGUAGCUGGUCUGAGAGGAUGAUCAGCCACACUGGGACUGAGACACGGCCCAGACUCC
rnacentral:rRNA from 1 species